GGCUACUGGGUGUAAAAGAUAAAUCUUAUUCUAUCUGUUCUUAAUGAGUUUUAGAUAAUUUUAGUUGUAUUUCUUUGUAAUUUUGUGUUGUACAAAGAUUAAUUUAACAUUUUCUCUGGAAGUAUUAAUUUAGAAAGAUAAUUAUGCUUCAUUGGUGUUGUGUUUUGAAGUGUGAAAUGCAAAGUAAUUGUGAUAAAGUUCACUUUUAAACUGAACUAAAUAAGGUAUCUGAGAGACAACAAUGGUUAAAUGCAAUACAAUGUACAGGUUUUACUAGCGAAAUGAAAAUUUUCCUGUCCUGUCUGCUGUAAUCAUUUUAUAUCUGGAAAACCAGCCGACUUAAUCGAUAAUAACAAUCUCCAGAUUGGGUUCCUUCAAUAAAUAUGG
rnacentral:lncRNA from 1 species